CACGUAGGGGGCGAGCGUUGUCCGGAUUUAUUGGGCGUAAAGAGCUCGUAGGCGGCUCAGUAAGUCAGGUGUGAAAACUCCAGGCUCAACCUGGAGACGCCACCUGAUACUGCUGUGGCUAGAGUCCGGUAGGGGAGCAUGGAAUUCCUGGUGUAGCGGUGAAAUGCGCAGAUAUCAGGAGGAACACCAGUGGCGAAGGCGGUGCUCUGGGGCCGGAACUGAACGCUGGAGGAAGCGAAAGCGUGGGGAGCAAACAGG
rnacentral:rRNA from 1 species